rnacentral:lncRNA from 1 species
AAUAUAGUCUAAUUUAAUUUAAUCCAAUUAUAAUAAUUAGUUCAAUCUAAUUUUACAUGGCAAAUCUAGCCUUAAAGCAUGUACAUCACUAAUAUUAUUAGAUUGUAAUGUAAUAUUAAAAUGAAAUACUAAAUGUAAACUUGUAAUGUAGCAAAAGACUACGGGUUUGUGGAUCCAAGACCUUUCUUUCUUUUUCAUUUUUUUGGGGGCACAGAAAUCAAAAUGAAACACAACUUUUAAUGAUCUUAUUUUAUUGCCUAAAUUUGCUCCAAUUUAGAGGCACAACAUUCGUGAAUAGGUUUCGUAUUCAGUUACUCUUCGGUCUUCACAAGCUUUCAAUGAUAAUAAACUUAGAAACAAGUCCAAAUAAAAAGUUAGAAACAACUCAACUAGUCUUGUGCUUGCGUCAAUUUCAGGGCGUGGCUACCCCUCAAUGCCAUUACCCACUGUAUUUAAAAAAAAUACAUUAUUUAAUGUAAUCCCAAUAUCAAAUAUUAUAUAUAUAUAUAUAUAUAUAAUUAGUUACGAUGGAAUUAUUUUAAGAUAGAGUAUAUUUUUAUUAAAAUUAUAACGUAAUUUUUAUUAUUUAUUAUUUUAUAUAUACAACUGUAAUUUAUGCUCUGCCUUUAAACAGCUCCUGGAUAACCAUCGGUUUAUGCAUAAAAUAAAAUGAAAGAUCCUUCUUUUUGUUGGUCAAAACUUACAAAAUAUUGAAAGGCCUGCCAAAAUUACUUCAUGUAGUUAAUAAAAUCUUAAAAGACUCAGGUUGCUUUUGAGUAUAAUCAAUUGUUCACAGAGGAGAUACGGUGAAUGAUUCUCUUUUCAGUCAUUAAUUUUUUGAAAUUCUCAAAAAUCAACUUGGUUUGAGGCUUAAAAUUGGGAUUUCCUAUUUUACUUCAUCUUUAAUUUAAUAUAUUACACGUGUCAAACUCUUACUGCGUACUUUAUGUUUAGUCGUUUCGAUGGGCACUGUGGUCUGUGCACAAGGCUCUGUCCUCGUAGCCUGUCUGAAAGGUCUGAGAGACAGGCUCUCUGAUUAAUUUAAUUAGUAAUUAUUUUUGUUUUUUAAUUUAAUUAA